AAGUAAUGUGAAUAAGACAUUACACAAGGAGGACAGAGCUUUCUCAGAGACAGUCCAUGAGGACAGUGUCUCCAAACACCCUGAAGCGUGGGGACCCCUAAAGCUUUGUUAUGGGAAGUGUGAAGUGUGUCUUGUAUGACGGACCAAGAGAAGGGCUAUCCCGCUCUGAAUAUUCAGCAGCUCACUGGCGUUCAUCCCUAAAGAAAAGGUUGAUGGACAGAAAGGUGAGCUGUGACAGAGAAGAACAUGUUCUGCUGCUAAAGGUGAGGACAGUGGAUGAAGUGCUCCGGGACAACGCCUAAUGGAGCUCCGGGGCUCUGAUGGACGUUGGCCUCACUGGGCAGCAAGAACAGGCUGGUCUCAACCAUCUUUUUAAAGCAGGAGCAUAGAGACACAUUCAAAAACAACUAGUAUCCACAUUCAACCCCAUGAAGUUGUGCUGCUGUGCAAUUGUACAUAAAUACUAUAAUAUUUAAUGUACCUCCCUGGCAUGCCUCAGUGCACCACUCUGGAUCUAUGAACUUCAUAUCCUUCUUCAAAAGUGUAAUUGCAUGCUCCCAUCAGUUGAUGGUGCUAUGUGCCCUUAAAUGAACUGCAUUUAUAACUGGCGUAAGUGUUACUGUGGACAUAGUUUGUUCUCUCUAGAAAUAUUAGAGAAGAGUAUCCCACUGUGAGAACUCGUCCUGUAUUCAGAGCAAAAAAGUGCUAAUUAUUUAUGGCAGCAACAAAGCAAUAACUACAGUACUUCUUAGUUCCUUUUUACUGACGCUAAAGGAUUCCGAAAUGGUGUCUGCAAAAAUGAUUUUACUGUAUCAGAGCUGCUCCAUAGACAAUUAAUGGGAGACUGAUUUUGUGGACCCACAGAAUGUUUUUCUUCUAUACUCAAAUAAGAUUUAUUCUAUUGUAGUGUUCUCAGUUCUGAAACCGAAAUUGUACCCAUACAUUCAGAACAUUUCUCUGUGUGCUCUCAGUGUCAUAUAACAUCUUUCCCAGUUCAUUGUAAAUGGAGCAGUUCCAUAAUUAUUACUUGAUGACAUCCAAAAUUUGAGUUUUAGCAGUCUAGGUUUUGGAGAGAGUUGUUCAUGUUUACUUAUAUUUUUAGACCAUAGGAAUAACAUGUAUACAUUUUAAAAAAUGGGUGCAGUUCCCCUUUAAUACAGUAAAUAUCUGAACAGCAUUUCUCCACUGUGCUGUUGUGCCCACUUGCCAUCUUCCCUGUCACAGCAGGGGCCUUUUUAGUAAGUCGAUCCUGAAGUUAUCUGGAAAACUUUGCUGAGUAAAACUCAGACCUCAGCCCAUGUUCCAGACCUGAGAGUGUUCUGUGUUUUUCUACUCAGCAAAGUUUUCCGGAUAACUCAGUAAACCUGCUUCUUGGCUCGGGGAGUGGUGGAAUUUUAAACAAAGUGAGGCUGUGGGGGUGCGUUCAACAGUUCUUGUGCUGUUUAAAUGUCUGGGACAGAGCAGGUGUGGAGCUGCUCAUUUCAAAGGCUGGAAGAUCAGAGGGGGAGAUGAAAGCUGCGGUGUCAAUCAGAGGAUUAAGAAAGGAAGUGCAAACAUUCAUAGAUUGUAAUGAUGUGAAGUCGUACAGUAUUUAAAGCAAAGACUGUUUUGUGCAUUUGAUGAUGAUGAUUUUGUCUGUAUGAUCAAAACUCUUGAAUUCACUUCAGAGGGAGCAGCUGUUGCAAAAGUAUUGUUUUAAAUGUCAGUAUUUUGCUUAAAGUGAUGAUGAAGACCUUCCUUGUGACUGAUGUCUUUGUCGUGGAUUCUCUGUUGUAUCGCCACACACAGCUGGCACACUGACUGAACUGUCCUCGGGGCUGACGUCUAGCAGAGGGAGGGAGAGUUAGUGAGGGGAAGAGCGACAAACUCAACAA